GAUGAACGCUGGCGGCGUGCCUAAUACAUGCAAGUCGAGCGAACAGAUGAGGAGCUUGCUCCUCUGACGUUAGCGGCGGACGGGUGAGUAACACGUGGAUAACCUACCUAUAAGACUGGGAUAACUUCGGGACACCGGAGCUAAUACCGGAUAAUAUAUUGAACCGCAUGGUUCAAUAGUGAAAGACGGUUUUGCUGUCACUUAUAGAUGGAUCCGCGCCGCAUUAGCUAGUUGGUAAGGUAACGGCUUACCAAGGCAACGAUGCGUAGCCGAACUGAGAGGGUGAUCGGCCACACUGGAACUGAGACACGGUCCAUGCUCCUACGGGAGGCAGCAGUAGGGAAUCUUCCGCAAAGGGCGAAAGCCUGACGGAGCAACGCCGCGUGAGUGAUGAAGGUCUUCGGAUCGUAAAACUCUGUUAUUAGGGAAGAACAAAUGUGUAAGUAACUAUGCACGUCUUGACGGUACCUAAUCAGAAAGCCACGGCUAACUACGUG
rnacentral:rRNA from 1 species